rnacentral:rRNA from 1 species
UACGGAGGGGGCGAGCGUUAUUCGGAAUUAUUGGGCGUAAAGGGCGCGUAGGCGGCCCGGUAAGUCAAAGGUGAAAUCCCUCGGCUCAACUGAGGAACUGCCUUUGAAACUGUCGGGCUUGAGGCCGGGGAGGGGGUAGCGGAAUUCCCAGUGUAGCGGUGAAAUGCGUAGAUACUGGGAGGAACACCAGUGGCGAAGGCGGCUACCUGGACCGGUUCUGACGCUGAGGCGCGAAAGCGUGGGUAGCAAACAGG